GGGAGGCAACAGGGCCAAGGUUAGCAGGAGAGGCAAGGACAGAAGUGAGAGAUAACAUAGUAUUAUGAAAAUAGGGAGCCACAAGACAAGACCUGCAGUCAGCUUGUAGAAGCUGAAAAAAGUCAAGAAAGGGAAUGGUCCCAGAAUGUCCUGAGGGAAACAGCUUUGCUGAUACAUUGACCUCAUCACAGUGAGCCUGGAGUUGGAUGCCAGAUCUACAGGACUGAGGAAUAAAAGGCAAGCGGGUCCUGGCCCUUGCACUGCAGUUGAGGGAAUCUGAGGGCAGCAUGCAGGCACCAGCACCGAGGGAAGCUUUGGGCCUAGGCCGCAGGUUCCUAUCCUGAGACCAUAGCAGGAUGUGCCUUGGACAAAGAGGCAGUUAAAUAUUGAAUAGAUUCAGAACAUCUGAUGACGGUUUCUCUAAAAGCCUCUCUGGACCAGCUACCCCAUUAUGGGUCCUUCCCACUCCCCCAAAAUUGGUGAAAUACUGUUCUGUAUUUUUCUGUGCACUGAAGUAAUUUCAUAUUUAAAGAAAUUUUGGCAUUGGCUUGUGGUUAUGAGAAA
ensembl:lncRNA